UUAAUUAACAUAAGUUGUCAACGCUGAUUAUCGACGUGUAACAUCUCCUUCAAGAAUCAUCACAAUAGGAACGACGAAUUCUUGUGGAUCAUUGUCGAACAGCUGUGCAUUAUAAUUAAAAUGAAAGUGUUUGAUGGAGGCUAAUGAUGCUGUUUACCAACCGACCUCGCUUCUUCGUAUUCGAUGUCACCAUUCGAUUGCGGAACCUCCUCUUGAACGGAAAUCAAACGUAUAUAAAUGGUUGUAAAUCGAUAUGUUAAUGUGGCGCAAAGUUCGGCGGGGUCGGUUAGGUCAAUGUGACGUCAGCGGAUACGGAGACCCUCGACGUGGUGAACUGCGACAAUAUUUGCGUGCAAAACGUUUCUUGAAUGUAUGCAUACGGUAUGAUCGUGGCCAAUAUAUCGACUUGUCCCUUUCUUAUUUCGGAAUUCUGCCAGAAACAGGUCGACGCUAACCCUAGCAGUAUUCGAUCAUUUUUGCGAUUUCUAUGCUUCGAUGCAGACAAUUAAUAUUGAAAGAGAAGAAACGGGAAAAAUGGAACAAAAUCAAAAUAAAUUAAUAAGUUGGAUAGUCAGCCGUUUCUUCGGAUGACCCGUGGUCCAUUCUCUGAUCCUUCGCAGUUAAUGCUCCUCCCUGUUGAUUCUACCAUGGAAAAAAAAGAAAAACGAUAACCCCAGAUACCAUAGCGAGUACAUACGUGUUUGUUAUCAUUCUCGUAAUACUCGGACGAUCGUGUUGCUAACCGAGAUGCAGCAUAUUCGCUUUACAAGCGAUUUUUCAAAACGACCAAAAUGUAUCGAAUGGAUAAGAACAUCAGGCAAUGCUUUAUCACACGAUAAAUCCAGCUUAUCGAUCAUGCUUGCGUUUCGUUUCGACACGUUGUUUAAAUCAAUUUCGUUGAUGGACAGUGCAACGCGAUACCCUGACGGAGGGCCAUUUUAAUCACCAUUAAUGAGCAUUUCGAUCAUUGAAAUACGCUCUCUUCGAUGUUGCACAGACAAAACAGUUGGAUACACGGGAUGACGCUCGUAAAGGAGACAUUUAUUGGUCGUAAAGGCAUGCUGGCUGUAUCUUGUGCAGUUUGGACCGAUCCUUAAAACGUAGAGAACUCGUCUUUCUGACGAUCGUUUUGUACCAGCACGUUUAGGAACCAUCAUAUGACAAUGGGGGCGUACGUAGUUGACAAACAUGGGAGCGGCGUAUUGGGUCGAUGGCAAAAGGAAUAAAGGGAAAAAAGGGGAAGGAUAUAGCAGUUGGGAUAUAUACUAAACGAGCAUUUAAUGAGCUUCAAGGAAGUAUAACGAGUAUUACGUAAUGAGAAUUGGAAUUCCAGGGAAAGACGUGCUAAUUCGCCAGAUACAGGCAUCGGAUACAGAGAUGUUCUAUCUAUAAGGAUCAAAGAAAAAGGAACGAGAGGAUCAUCGAGCUGUGUGGCUAUGCGUUCGCUUUUGCAUAGUUUCAUGGUUCCUGGAUUUCGCGGCCGACCAACCGAAAAAUUGAAAUGAUGCUAUGGUAACGCCGUUUCUAAAUGCGUCUCUGGUGACGCGUCUCGCAAAGACCUCUUCUUACUAAAUGUGACUUUAACGAGCAACAUGGAGAACGAGGAGUACGGGGAACGACCUGCGCGCGGAUUCGGGCGCGGUCAAUGCCGUCUAGAUGUUCGCUAUUACUAUCCGGACCUCCUGGUAUUUUCGUCAUGGCCUACUAAUACACUCCGCAAAUUCUUGCCCUACCACGGGGGCCACUGUUCGACAAUGACGUAGUCGAGGAAAUAUGCCGAUCGUGAGCCAUGUCACUGACCGUGAUGUCCAAUUUCUUCGCUUUUUAUUCUUUGAAAACGAGCCAGCCGAAUCCGUUGUACCCUCUUCUUUGUUAGAUGUGCAAUAGAUCCGAAAACAACAAUCUCUUCUUGAUUCGCAUUUGAUCACUGAUCAUAACACCUGAAACUUUUGUACAAUUUGUGUGUUGUACUUUAGAAAUUCGGAAGUGAAAUUCCAGAGAAUUGCUAAAUAAAUUUCUUAGGAAGAAAGAUACACGUACGAUUGACGACUACUUCUAUAGGCUUGGCUGUUUCGUGAAAGCAUUCUUUUUUUGAAAUGUUUAGUCCUCCUUGAGAAGAGCUUCGAAUUUUCUAGCCUAAGGAGUUCGACUUGCUAUAUAUUCAUGAUUAUCAUCGUUGUGAGGAAAAAGAAAAGACAGAUGCAUUUAUAUUUAAAAGAUUUGUAGGAUAAGGAAUUUUUCAAUUGAAUACACCAUUUC